rnacentral:rRNA from 1 species
UACGUAGGGGGCGAGCGUUGUCCGGAUUUAUUGGGCGUAAAGCGCUCGCAGGUGGUUCGUUGCGUCGUGCGUGAAAGACCCCGGCUCAACUGGGGAGUGUCGUGCGAUACGGGCGAACUGGAGGCCAGUAGGGGGAUGCGGAAUUCCGGGUGUAGUGGUGGAAUGCGUAGAGAUCCGGAGGAACACCAGCGGCGAAGGCGGCAUCCUGGACCAACACUGACACUGAGGAGCGAAAGCCAGGGGAGCAAACGGG